ensembl:ncRNA C01F4.9 ncRNA
ACUCGUAAUUGAUUUUGAGAGCACAAGAAAGGGGACAAAAAGAAUAUUAAAAUUCAUGUCACGCCUACAAGUCGUCUUGUUUCGUGCUUUCAUCACCUUCUUGACCUCAA